UUUGGCAACAUCUACUUGCUGUAUCUGUUCGUAGAGUUUGCCCACCGCUUCGCGAAUGGUGGGGUGCCAGUUAACGGCACGUGUCACCGCAUCGCCCAGGGUUAAGGUGCCGGGCGCGGCCUGGCUUGUCGGCAAUGCAACCCGUCCAUUCAGAGAGGGCAGCUCCUGAUUUUCAUUUAAUUGCCCAAAACUAAUGACCGCAGGGGAGUCGGCGGCCAGGACCUGCCCGGACAACAGGCAGCACCCCAGCCACCAGCAAGGUACUUUGUUCAUGGCAUUAUCCCUAAAAAACUGAACAACUUUAUAAUGUUAAGCCCGGGCGACGUGCGCCCGGGUCUUGUUAU
rfam:Leclercia adecarboxylata strain I1 Leclercia_S84_R1__paired__contig_72, whole genome shotgun sequence.